rnacentral:rRNA from 1 species
UGUAGGUCAAGCUACUAAGGGCCGACGGUGGAUGCCUUGGCGCCAAGAGCCGAAGAAGGACGCGGUAAGACUGCGAAAAGCCCCGGUGAGCCGUCUAACGGGCUAAGCCGGGGGUCUCCGAAUGGGGCAACCCCGCCGACUGAACGUCGGCGACUCCACGCUGAAUCCAUAGGCGUGAGAGAGGUAAGUGCGGGAACUGAAACAUCUUAGUACCGCGAGGAACAGAAAACUAUUCCGUCAGUAGUGGCGAGCGAACGCGGAAGAGCCUAAACCCGAAGGAUUCAGUGGACUGGGUCCUAUAUCUUUCGGGGGUUGUAAGAACGGCACGCAGGUCCCAGGCCUGCAGCAGAGUUAUCAAUCCAAUCCCUAGCCGAACGCUCUGGAACGGGCGACCGCAGAGGGUGAUUGUCCCGUAGGCGAAAGGGAGCGGACUCUGGCCGGUUUCUUGAGUACCACUGGGUAUCCGUGGUGCCUGGUGGGAAUCUGGUGCGCCCACGUACCAAGGCUAAAUACUCUUGGCGACCGAUAGUGAACCAGUACCGUGAGGGAAAGGUGAAAAACACCCCGGGAGGGGAGUGAAAUAGAUCUGAAACCGUCGGCUUACAAGCGGUCAUAGGUCCGAUUUAUCGGACUGAUGGCGUGCCUAUUGAAGAAUGAGCCAGCGAGUUACUGCAUGUGGCGAGGUUAAGGGACUGGAGUCCUGGAGCCGUAGCGAAAGCGAGUCCUAAAUGGGCGAUCAGUCGCAUGUAGUAGACCCGAAACCGUGUGAGCUACCCAUGGCCAGGGUGAAGCGAGGGUAAAACCUCGUGGAGGCCCGAACCUAUGACACGUGCAAAUGUCUGGGAUGAGUUGUGGGUAGAGGUGAAAUGCCAAUCGAACACGGAGAUAGCUGGUUCUCCCUGAAAUGUAUUAGGGUACAGCGUCAAGCAGUAACUGCGGGAGGUAGGGCUCUGAAUGGGCUAGGGGUCGUAAGAUUACUAAACCCAAUCAAACCACGAAUGCCCGCAGUGGAAGCUUGGCAGUGAGACAGUGGGGGAUAAGCUCCAUUGUCAUGAGGGUAACAGCCCAGAUCAUCAGUUAAGGCCCCAAAGUAAUGGCUUAGUGGAAAAGGAUGUGGAUUCGCUCAGACAGCCAGGAUGUUGGCUUAGAAGCAGCCAUCAUUUAAAGAGUGCGUAAUAGCUCACUGGUCGAGGGAAUCUGCGCCGACAAUGACUCGGGGCUCAAGCCAUUCGCCGAAACUAUGGGAUGCAUCGGGAAACCGGUGCAUCGGUAAGGGAGCGUUCCCAGCGCGUCGAAGUCAGCUCGUGAGGGCUGGUGGAGUGCUGGGAAGUGAGAAUGCUGGCAUGAGUAGCGUGAAUCCUGGUGAAAACCCAGGACACCGGAAAUCUAAGGUUUCCUACGCAACGUCAAUCGGCGUAGGGUUAGGCGGACCUAAGUCGAGGCCGUCAGGCGUAGACGAUGGACAGCAGGUCAAUAUUCCUGCCCCGCCUUUGAUUCGUUCGAUGCCGAGAGGGAGAGCAGAAGGAUAGGCAGAACGCACCCACUGGACAUGGUGCGCCCCCGAUCGUAGGAGAGUCGGCCGCAGGCAAAACCACGGCCGGCGCUACCACCUGAGGAGAGGGGAUAGUCUUGGGUUCGCCCAGGACCAGUUUGCUGAGUCCAUGCUGCCGAGAAAAGCCUCGCGGCUAGAGUCAGAGGCGACCGUACCGAAAUCCGACACUGGUAGAUGAUCUGAAAGCAGAUAAGGUGGACGAGAGAACCCUCGUUAAGGAACUAGGCAAAAUUACCCCGUAACUUCGGGAAAAGGGGGGCCCCGCUGUGUGAAGGAGCAUGCCUCCGUAGCGCGGCAGGGCCGCAGGUAAUCGGCUCGGGCGACUGUUUAGCUAAAACACAGGUCUGUGCCAAAGCGUAAGCUGAGGUAUACGGGCUGACGCGUGCCCAGUGUCGGAAGGUUAAGGUGAGGGGUGUAUGCCCUGAACUGAAGCCCCGAUGAACGGCGGCCGUAACUAUAACGGUCCUAAGGUAGCGAAACCCCUUGUCGGGUAAGUUCCGACCCGCAUGAAUCGCGCAACGACUUGAGCGCUGUCUCAACGAGGGACUCGGCGAAAUUGAAGUACCCGUGAAGAUGCGGGUUACCCGUAGAUGGACAAAAAGACCCCGUGAAGCUUUACUGUAACUUGGCAUUGAUUCGAAACGACUGCUGCGUAGGAUAGGUGGGAGGCUGCGAACCUUCACUUGCGGGUGGAGGUGAGCCAACGGUGAAAUACCACUCUUCGGUUGUUUUGGGUCUACCUUGCUCUAUGAUCUAGAGCGAAAACAGUGCCUGGUGGGCAGUUUGGCUGGGGCGGCCGCCUCCCAAAAAGUAACGGAGGCGCCCAAAGGUUCCCUCAGGGCGGAUGGUAAUCGCCCGUCGAGUGCAUUGGCAUAAGGGAGCUUGACUGCGAGACCUACAAGUCGAGCAGAUGCGAAAGCAGGGCAAAGUGAUCCUACGGCUCCUCGUGGUAGGGCCGUGGCUUAACGGAUAAAAGCUACUCCGGGGAUAACAGGCUGAUCGUGCCCAAGAGUUCACAUCGACGGCACGGUUUGGCACCUCGAUGUCGGCUCGUCGCAUCCUGGGGCUGCAGGCGGUCCCAAGGGUCCGGCUGUUCGCCGGUUAAAGCGGUACGCGAGCUGGGUUCAGAACGUCGUGAGACAGUUCGGUCUCUAUCCUCUAUGGGCGCAGGAGAUUUGAGGGGAGCUCUCUCUAGUACGAGAGGACCGAGAGGGAUCAACCUCUGGUGUUCCAGCUGUCCUGCCAAGGGCAUAGCUGGGUAGCCAUUGUUGAGAAGGGAUAAGCGCUGAAAGCAUCUAAGCACGAAGCCCCCCCCAAGAUGAGAUCUCCAGUUGGAGCAAUCCAAGUAAGACCCCAGGAAGACUACCUGGUUGAUAGGCGGCAGGUGUAAGGACAGCAAUGUCUUCAGCUAAGCCGUACUAAUCGGUCGAGGGCUUGACCUACA